rnacentral:rRNA from 1 species
CCCUUAGAUGUCCUGGGCCGCACGCGCGUUACACUGAUGCAUUCAACGAGCUUAUAACCUUGGCCGAGAGGCCUGGGCAAUCUUGUUAACGUGCAUCGUGAUAGGGAUAGAUUAUUGAAAUUAUUAAUCUUGAACGAGGAAUUCCUAGUAAACGCAGAUCAUCAAUCUGCAUUGAUUACGUCCCUGCCCUUUGUACACACCGCCCGCCGCACCUACCGAUUGGAUGGUCCGGUGAAGCCUCGGGAUUGUGGUUCUUGCCGCUUUAUUGUGGCGUGACCGCGAGAACUUGUCUAAACCUUAUCAUCUAGAGGAAGGUGAAGUCGUAACA